rnacentral:rRNA from 2 species
CGCCGGGGGGGGCGCUUACACAUGCAAGUCGAACGAUGAUGCCCAGCUUGCUGGGCGGAUUAGUGGCGAACGGGUGAGUAAUACGUGAGUAACCUGCCCUUGACUCUGGGAUAAGCCUGGGAAACUGGGUCUAAUACUGGAUACUACCUCUUACCGCAUGGUGGGUGGUGGAAAGGGUUUUACUGGUUUUGGAUGGGCUCACGGCCUAUCAGCUUGUUGGUGGGGUAAUGGCUCACCAAGGCGACGACGGGUAGCCGGCCUGAGAGGGUGACCGGCCACACUGGGACUGAGACACGGCCCAGACUCCUACGGGAGGCAGCAGUGGGGAAUAUUGCACAAUGGGCGGAAGCCUGAUGCAGCGACGCCGCGUGAGGGAUGACGGCCUUCGGGUUGUAAACCUCUUUCAGUAGGGAAGAAGCGAGAGUGACGGUACCUGCAGAAGAAGCGCCGGCUAACUACGUGCCAGCAGCCGCGGUAAUACGUAGGGCGCAAGCGUUGUCCGGAAUUAUUGGGCGUAAAGAGCUCGUAGGCGGUUUGUCGCGUCUGCUGUGAAAGCCCGGGGCUCAACCCCGGGUCUGCAGUGGGUACGGGCAGACUAGAGUGCAGUAGGGGAGACUGGAAUUCCUGGUGUAGCGGUGAAAUGCGCAGAUAUCAGGAGGAACACCGAUGGCGAAGGCAGGUCUCUGGGCUGUUACUGACGCUGAGGAGCGAAAGCAUGGGGAGCGAACAGGAUUAGAUACCCUGGUAGUCCAUGCCGUAAACGUUGGGCACUAGGUGUGGGGGACAUUCCACGUUUUCCGCGCCGUAGCUAACGCAUUAAGUGCCCCGCCUGGGGAGUACGGCCGCAAGGCUAAAACUCAAAGGAAUUGACGGGGGCCCGCACAAGCGGCGGAGCAUGCGGAUUAAUUCGAUGCAACGCGAAGAACCUUACCAAGGCUUGACAUUCACCGGACCGCCCCAGAGAUGGGGUUUCCCUUCGGGGCUGGUGGACAGGUGGUGCAUGGUUGUCGUCAGCUCGUGUCGUGAGAUGUUGGGUUAAGUCCCGCAACGAGCGCAACCCUCGUUCUAUGUUGCCAGCACGUGAUGGUGGGGACUCAUAGGAGACUGCCGGGGUCAACUCGGAGGAAGGUGGGGAUGACGUCAAAUCAUCAUGCCCCUUAUGUCUUGGGCUUCACGCAUGCUACAAUGGCCGGUACAAAGGGUUGCGAUACUGUGAGGUGGAGCUAAUCCCAAAAAGCCGGUCUCAGUUCGGAUUGAGGUCUGCAACUCGACCUCAUGAAGUCGGAGUCGCUAGUAAUCGCAGAUCAGCAACGCUGCGGUGAAUACGUUCCCGGGCCUUGUACACACCGCCCGUCAAGUCACGAAAGUUGGUAACACCCGAAGCCGGUGGCCUAACCCCUUGUGGGAGGGAGCCGUCGAAGGUGACGGUUGGA